rnacentral:misc_RNA from 1 species
ACCGCAGUUGGAUGCCCAC